UACGUAGGGGGCAAGCGUUGUCCGGAUUUAUUGGGCGUAAAGAGCGUGUAGGCGGCCAUGUAGGUCCGUUGUGAAAACUCGAGGCUCAACCUCGAGACGCCGAUGGAAACCAUGUGGCUAGAGUCCGGAAGAGGAGAGUGGAAUUCCUGGUGUAGCGGUGAAAUGCGCAGAUAUCAGGAAGAACACCCGUGGCGAAGGCGGCUCUCUGGGACGGUACUGACGCUGAGGAGCGAAAGCGUGGGGAGCGAACAGG
rnacentral:rRNA from 1 species